GCAUCGUCGUUAAAAUCGCCGAAGGUGGCUGCCGACGGCGAGGCAACAUCCUCAACUUCACCGCGCAAGCCUACAUUGACUCCCAAGGCGUCUUUUGGUGCCAAACGCGAUCCCGCCGGAACACCACCGGUCGGCUCCCCUCGACAACCUGUCGGCUCCCCGCGACCACCGGUUUAAGUUUUAGCGGUCCCACGUAUUUUUAAUUUUAUUUUAUUUUUCCUCAUUUUCAUUAAAACUUUAUUAUAAAUCAUCUCAAUUUUUUUAAUUUUUUUUAAAAAAGAGACCAAGUCUGGAGUUUCAUAUCAUGUCGAUAUAUUGGGCCCACCAC
rnacentral:lncRNA from 1 species